UACAGACAGGCGUCACACACAGGAUCAUCAUUCGGGACGGUCACAGACACUCCUGCACUGCUGCACGCCGCAUACCUGAGAGACGUCUACAGCCAGAAGAAGUACCGCAGUGAUGUGGAGCGUCUGAAGGGCUCGUGUUCUGCUGCGUCACACACUCCAGAGAUAGAGAGAGUGAAGAACAACCAGCGCAACAUCAGUGCUCUGUUCUACACAUGGGACUCAAGGCUGAUGAAGGGUCUGAUGUCCACCGUCUCAGACACUCCAGAGAUGAGACUGGCCCGAGAGAACGCCAAGAACAUCAGCAACGUUCAGUAUCGUGACAGUGUGGGAUCAGGAACAGCCGUUGCUGAUACUCCUGAGAUGGAGCGUGUGCGCAGGAACCAGAACAACAUCAGCGCUGUCAAAUAUAAAGCUCCAGUGGAUCCGGUCAGUGUUGGAGUGACACCAGAGAUAGAGCGGGUCAAACUGAACCAGCAGAACAUCA